UACGUAGGGUGCGAGCGUUAAUCGGAAUUACUGGGCGUAAAGCGUGCGCAGGCGGUUCGUUGUGUCGGCGGUGAAAGCCCCGGGCUUAACCUGGGAAUGGCCGUUGAAACUGGCGAACUGGAGUGUGGCAGAGGGGGGUGGAAUUCCGCGUGUAGCAGUGAAAUGCGUAGAGAUGCGGAGGAACACCGAUGGCGAAGGCAGCCCCCUGGGCUAACACUGACGCUCAGGCACGAAAGCGUGGGGAGCAAACCGG
rnacentral:rRNA from 1 species